rnacentral:sRNA from 1 species
UCCUAGCCCUGAUGGGAGCGGUAUCCUUUUUGGUGGCUGAGGCUCUCGAAGCCACUAAAAAGAUAAAGCGUACAGCAGGAACAGAG